rnacentral:rRNA from 1 species
UACGAAGGGAGCUAGCGUUGUUCGGAAUCACUGGGCGUAAAGCGCACGUAGGCGGAUGUGUCAGUCAGGGGUGAAAUCCCGGAGCUCAACUUCGGAACUGCCUUUGAUACACGCACAUCUGGGGUCCGGAAGAGGUGGGUGGAAUUCCUAGUGUAGAGGUGAAAUUCGUAGAUAUUAGGAAGAACACCGGUGGCGAAGGCGGCCCACUGGUCCGGUACUGACGCUGAGGUGCGAAAGCGUGGGGAGCAAACAGG